rnacentral:rRNA from 1 species
GAUGAACGCUGGCGGCGUGCCUAAUACAUGCAAGUCGAGCGAACGGACGAGAAGCUUGCUUCUCUGAUGUUAGCGGCGGACGGGUGAGUAACACGUGGAUAACCUACCUAUAAGACUGGGAUAACUUCAGGAAACCGGAGCUAAUACCGGAUAAUAUUUUGAACCGCAUGGUUCAAAAGUGAAAGACGGUCUUGCUGUCACUUAUAGCUGGAUCCGCGCUGCAUUAGCUAGUUGGUAAGGUAACGGCUUACCAAGGCAACGAUGCAUAGCCGACCUGAGAGGGUGAGCGGCCACACUGGAACUGAGACACGGUCCAGACUCCUACGGGAGGCAGCAGUAGGGAAUCUUGCGCAAUGGGCGAAAGCCUGACGGAGCAACGCCGCGUGAGUGAUGAAGGUCUUCGGAUCGUAAAACUCUGUUAUUAGGGAAGAACAUAUGUGUAAGUAACUGUGCACAUCUUGACGGUACCUAAUCAGAAAGCCACGGCUAACUACGUG